GUGGGGAAUAUUGGACAAUGGGGGGAACCCUGAUCCAGCCAUGCCGCGUGUGUGAAGAAGGCCUUUUGGUUGUAAAGCACUUUAAGCGAGGAGGAGGCUACCGAGAUUAAUACUCUUGGAUAGUGGACGUUACUCGCAGAAUAAGCACCGGCUAACUCUGUGCCAGCAGCCGCGGUAAUACAGAGGGUGCGAGCGUUAAUCGGAUUUACUGGGCGUAAAGCGUGCGUAGGCGGCUUUUUAAGUCGGAUGUGAAAUCCCCGAGCUUAACUUAGGAAUUGCAUUCGAUACUGGAAAGCUAGAGUAUGGGAGAGGAUGGUAGAAUUCCAGGUGUAGCGGUGAAAUGCGUAGAGAUCUGGAGGAAUACCGAUGGCGAAGGCAGCCAUCUGGCCUAAUACUGACGCUGAGGUACGAAAGCAUGGGGAGCAAACAGGAUUAGAAACCCUUGUAGUCC
rnacentral:rRNA from 1 species